AAGAUGGAAUCUAUUGUCAAUAGAGAAAAGAUGGAAACAAAGUCUGCUUCCACUGAAGAUACAGUGUUUCAAAUCUGAUCAAUGUCAAAGGACUUUUCAGAAAGAUUUCUCAUUUUGAAAGACACUUAGUGGGUCUUCAAAAUGGAAAAGUCAGCAGAAGAUUGAAAGCUUUCGAUGUCAGGACUCUACCAGCUUAAGUCAAGUGUCUCAAGCCAUGUGAAGAUAGAACAAGAAAACAAACCAAGAAUCUUGCCUCACCAGCUACCAGAUCUGCCAGCAACUUGAACUUAGACUUCCCAGCCUCCAUAAUGGUGAGAAAUAAAUGUUUUUUUUAAGCCA